rnacentral:rRNA from 1 species
AGUGAACGCUGGCGGCGUGCUUAACACAUGCAAGUCGAACGAGAACGGAUUAUAGCUUGCUAUAAUUGUCAGCUAAGUGGCGCACGGGUGAGUAAUGUAUAGGUAAUAUGCCUCUUACUAAGGGUUAACAAAUGGAAACGUUUGCUAAUACCUUAUACUCCUUAUUAACAGAAGUUAAUAAGGGAAAGAUUUAUUGGUAAGAGAUUAGCCUGUAUUGUAUCAGUUAGUUGGUGGGGUAAUGGCUUACCAAGACUAUGACACAUAACUGGUUUGAGAGGAUGAACAGUCACACUGGAACUGAGACACGGUCCAGACUCCUACGGGAGGCAGCAGUGGUGAAUAUUGCACAAUGGACGGAAGUCUGAUGCAGCAACGCCGCGUGGAGGAUGACACAUUUCGGUGCGUAAACUCCUUUUAUAUGAGAAGAUAAUGACGGUAUAUAUGAAUAAGCACCGGCUAACUCCGUGCCAGCAGCCGCCGUAA